rfam:[Clostridium] purinilyticum strain DSM 1384 CLPT_10c, whole genome shotgun sequence.
UUAUUAAGUGAAUAAAAUCCGUAGACAGUAGGUACUCAUUAUGAGUUUAAAGUGGCCUACCGAGGAAUGGAUAUAGAUUUAUAAAUUCGAAAUCUGAGGUCUUUCCAUGUCUACGGGGAAAGACCUUUUAUAUUUUAGGUA